UAUCAAGGGGUGCUCACCGUGGGUGGGCUGAGAUGAUACCCUUCAGAACCUGAUGCGGAUAAUGCCGACGUAGGGAUGAU
rnacentral:ncRNA from 1 species